rnacentral:tRNA from 1 species
GCCGGGGUAGUUCAGUGGUAGAACGCCAGACUCAUAAUCUGGAGGUCGUGGGUUCAAAACCCAUCUCCGGCA